UGGAAUGUAGCUCAAUGGUAGAGUGCUUGCCUAGCAUGCACAAGGGCCUGAGUUCAAUCCCCAGCACAAUAA
rnacentral:tRNA from 1 species